GACGAACGCUGGCGGCGUGCCUAACACAUGCAAGUCGAACGGAGUGAUUCGCUGAACUUGAGAGUAGCUUGCUACAGGAAAAUUCUUGAAUCACUUAGUGGCGGACGGGUGAGUAACGCGUGAGGAACCUGCCCUUCAGAGGGGGACAACAGUUGGAAACGACUGCUAAUACCGCAUAGCGUACCGAAAGGACAUCCUAUUGGUACCAAAGGAGCAAUCCGCUGAAGGAUGGCCUCGCGUCCGAUUAGAUAGUUGGUGAGGUAACGGCUCACCAAGUCGACGAUCGGUAGCCGGACUGAGAGGUUGAACGGCCACAUUGGGACUGAGACACGGCCCAG
rnacentral:rRNA from 1 species